rnacentral:misc_RNA from 1 species
GAUGAAGAACGCAGCGAAAUGCGAUAAGUAGUGUGAAUUGCAGAUUUCAGUGAAUCAUCGAAUCUUUGAACGCACAUUGCGCCCGCCAGUAUUCUGGCGGGCAUGCCUGUUCGAGCGUCAUUUCAACCAUCAAGCCCCCGGCUUGUGUUGGGGACCUGCGGCUGCCGCAGGCCCUGAAAACCAGUGGCGGGCUCGCUAGUCACUCCGAGCGUAGUAAUACAUCUCGCUCAGGGCGUGCUGCGGGUUCCGGCCGUUAAAAAGCCUUAUUUACCCAAGGUUGACCUCGGAUCAGGUAGGAAGACCCGCUGAACUUAAGCAUAUCAAUAAGCGGAGGA